CCACGGGCGGCAGCAGUGGGGAAUAUUGGACAAUGGGCGAAAGCCUGAUCCAGCCAUGCCGCGUGUGUGAAGAAGGCCUUCGGGUUGUAAAGCACUUUCAGUGGGGAAGAAAGCCUUGGGGCUAAUACCCUCGAGGAAGGACAUCACCCACAGAAGAAGCACCGGCUAACUCCGUGCCAGCAGCCGCGGUAAUACGGAGGGUGCGAGCGUUAAUCGGAAUUACUGGGCGUAAAGCGCGCGUAGGCGGUCUGAUAAGCCGGUUGUGAAAACCCCGGGCUCAACCUGGGAACGGCAUCCGGAACUGUCAGGCUAGAGUGCAGGAGAGGAAGGUAGAAUUCCCGGUGUAGCGGUGAAAUGCGUAGAGAUCGGGAGGAAUACCAGUGGCGAAGGCGGCCUUCUGGACUGACACUGACGCUGAGGUGCGAAAGCGUGGGUAGCAAACAGGAUUAGAUACCCUAGUAGUC
rnacentral:rRNA from 1 species